AGUCUGCAACUCGACUCCAUGAAGUCGGAAUCGCUAGUAAUCGCGGAUCAGAAUGCCGCGGUGAAUACGUUCCCGGGCCUUGUACACACCGCCCGUCACACCAUGGGAGUUUGUUGCACCAGAAGUAGGUAGUCUAACCGUAAGGAGGACGCUUACCACGGUGUGGCAGA
rnacentral:rRNA from 1 species